rnacentral:rRNA from 1 species
GGAUGGGUCUGCGGCCGAUUAGGUAGUUGGUUAGGUAAUGGCUUACCAAGCCGUUGAUCGGUACGGGUUGUGAGAGCAAGAGCCCGGAGAUGGAACCUGAGACAAGGUUCCAGGCCCUACGGGGUGCAGCAGGCGCGAAACCUCCGCAAUGUGAGAAAUCGCGACGGGGGGAUCCCAAGUGCCAUUCUUAACGGGAUGGCUUUUCAUUAGUGUAAAGAGCUUUUGGAAUAAGAGCUGGGCAAGACCGGUGCCAGCCGCCGCGGUAACACCGGCAGCUCUAGUGGUAGCAAUUUUUAUUGGGCCUAAAGCGUCCGUAGCCGGUUUAAUAAGUCUCUGGUGAAAUCCUGCAGCUUAACUGUGGGAAUUGCUGGAGAUACUAUUAGACUUGAGACCGGGAGAGGUUAGAGGUACUCCCAGGGUAGAGGUGAAAUUCUGUAAUCCUGGGAGGACCGCCUGUUGCGAAGGCGUCUAACUGGAACGGUUCUGACGGUGAGGGACGAAAGUUAGGGGCGCGAACCGGAUUAGAUACCCGGGUAGUCCUAACUGUAAACGAUGCGGACUUGGUGUUGGGGUGGCUUUGAGCUGCUUCAGUGCCGAAGGGAAGCUGUUAAGUCCGCUGCCUGGGAAGUACGGUCGCAAGACUGAAACUUAA